UACGAAGGGGGCUAGCGUUGCUCGGAAUCACUGGGCGUAAAGGGUGCGUAGGCGGGUCUUUAAGUCAGGGGUGAAAUCCUGGAGCUCAACUCCAGAACUGCCUUUGAUACUGAAGAUCUUGAGUUCGGGAGAGGCGAGUGGAACUGCGAGUGUAGAGGUGAAAUUCGUAGAUAUUCGCAAGAACACCAGUGGCGAAGGCGGCUCACUGGCCCGAUACUGACGCUGAGGCACGAAAGCGUGGGGAGCAAACAGG
rnacentral:rRNA from 1 species